CAGUAGCCACGGGAAUACGAAGGGUGCAAGCGUUACUCGGAAUUACUGGGCGUAAAGCGUGCGUAGGUGGUGGUUUAAGUCCGUUGUGAAAGCCCUGGGCUCAACCUGGGAAUUGCAGUGGAUACUGGCAAGCUAGAGUGUGUCAGAGGAUGGUGGAAUUCCCGGUGUAGCGGUGAAAUGCGUAGAGAUCGGGAGGAACAUCAGUGGCGAAGGCGGCCAUCUGGGACAACACUGACGCUGAGGCACGAAAGCGUGGGGAGCAAACAGGAUUAGAUACCCCGGUAGUCCUGUCUCUUAUACA
rnacentral:rRNA from 1 species